UACAAAAUUCCUGCCUCGGAAAGGAAAGC
rnacentral:piRNA from 1 species